rnacentral:rRNA from 1 species
GACGAACGCUGGCGGCGUGCCUAAUACAUGCAAGUCGAACGAAACUUUCUUACACCGAAUGCUUGCAUUCACCGUAAGAAGUUGAGUGGCGGACGGGUGAGUAACACGUGGGUAACCUGUCUAAAAGAAGGGGAUAACACUUGGAAACAGGUGCUAAUACCGUAUAUCUCUAAGGAUCGCAUGAUCCUUAGAUGAAAGAUGGUUCUGCUAUCGCUUUUAGAUGGACCCGCGGCGUAUUAACUAGUUGGUGGGGUAACGGCCUACCAAGGUGAUGAUACGUAGCCGAACUGAGAGGUUGAACGGCCACAUUGGGACUGAGACACGGACCAAACUCCUACGGGAGGCAGCAGUAGGGAAUCUUCCACAAUGGACGCAAGUCUGAUGGAGCAACGCCGCGUGAGUGAAGAAGGUCUUCGGAUCGUAAAACUCUGUUGUUAGAGAAGAACACGAGUGAGAGUAACUGUUCAUUCGAUGACGGUAUCUAACCAGCAAGUCACGGCUAACUACGUGCCAGCCGCCGCGGUAA